UCAGUGGCGAACGGGUGAGUAACACGUGACAAUCUGCCCAUUGACUCUGGGAUAAGCGUUGGAAACGACGUCUAAUACCGGAUACGACCUUGGAAGGCAUCUUCUGGGGUGGAAAGAAUUUUGGUCAAGGAUGAGCUCGCGGCCUAUCAGCUAGUUGGUGAGGUAAUGGCUCACCAAGGCGACGACGGGUAGCCGGCCUGAGAGGGUGACCGGCCACACUGGGACUGAGACACGGCCCAGACUCCUACGGGAGGCAGCAGUGGGGAAUAUUGCACAAUGGGCGAAAGUGAUGCAGCAACSCGCGUGAGGGACGACGGCCUUCGGGUUGUAAACCUCUUUUAGUAGGGAAGAAGCGAAAGUGACGGUACCUGCAGAAAAAGCACCGGCUAACUACGUGCCAGCAGCCGCGGUAAUACGUAGGGUGCAAGCGUUGUCCGGAAUUAUUGGGCGUAAAGAGCUCGUAGGCGGUUUGUCGCGUCUGCUGUGAAAACCCGAGGCUCAACCUCGGCCUGCAGUGGGUACGGGCAGACUAGAGUGCGGUAGGGGAGAUUGGAAUUCCUGGUGUAGCGGUGGAAUGCGCAGAUAUCAGGAGGAACACCAAUGGCGAAGCAGAUCUCUGGGCCGUAACUGACGCUGAGGAGCGAAAGCAUGGGGAGCGAACAGGAUUAGAUACCCUGGUAGUCCAUGCCGUAAACGUUGGGAACUAGAUGUGGGGACCAUUCCACGGUCUCCGUGUCGCAGCUAACGCAUUAAGUUCCCCGCCUGGGAGUACGGCGCAAGUAAAACUCAAAGGAAUUGACGGGGGCCCGCACAAGCGGCGGAGCAUGCGGAUUAAUUCGAUGCAACGCGAAGAACCUUACCAAGGCUUGACAUAUAGAGGAAACGUCUGGAAACAGUCGCCCCGCAAGGUCUCUAUACAGGUGGUGCAUGGUUGUCGUCAGCUCGUGUCGUGAGAUGUUGGGUUAAGUCCCGCAACGAGCGCAACCCUCGUCCUAUGUUGCCAGCACGUAAUGGUGGGAACUCAUGGGAUACUGCCGGGGUCAACUCGGAGGAAGGUGGGGAUGACGUCAAAUCAUCAUGCCCCUUAUGUCUUGGGUUCACGCAUGCUACAAUGGCCGGUACAAAGGGCUGCAAUACCGCAAGGUGGAGCGAAUCCCAAAAAGCCGGUCUCAGUUCGGAUUGAGGUCUGCAACUCGACCUCAUGAAGUCGGAGUCGCUAGUAAUCGCAGAUCACAACGCUGCGGUGAAUACGUUCCCCUACCUUGUACACMCCGCCCGUCAAGUCAUGAAAGU
rnacentral:rRNA from 1 species